CGGCCCCCCGGGGCGGCCGCCGGGAGAGAUGCUGCAAGAAACUUCUUAAAUGACCGCGUCCGGCCGGCCGUGGAGCGUUUCUGGGUUGGGGAGAGGAAAGGAAAGUGGAAAAAAACUGAGAACUUCCUGAUCUCUCUCGCUGUGAGACAUGUCUGAGACUCCUGCUCAGUGUAGCAUUAAGCAGGAACGGAUUUCAUAUACACCCCCCGAGAGCCCGGUGCCCAGUUACACUUCCUCGACGCCGCUUCAUGUGCCAGUGCCCCGAGCGCUCAGGAUGGAGGAAGACUCGAUCCGCCUGCCUGCGCACCUGCGCUUGCAGCCAAUGUACUGGAGCAGAGAUGACGUAGCCCAGUGGCUCAAGUGGGCUGAAAAUGAGUUUUCUCUAAGGCCAAUUGACAGCAACACAUUUGAGAUGAAUGGCAAAGCUCUCCUGCUCCUGACCAAAGAGGACUUUCGCUACCGGUCUCCUCAUUCAGGUGAUGUGCUCUAUGAACUCCUUCAGCAUAUUCUGAAGCAGAGGAAACCUCGGAUUCUUUUCUCACCGUUCUUCCACCCCGGAAACUCGAUACACACGCAGCCAGAAGUCAUCCUGCAUCAGAACCACGAAGAAGAUAACUGUGUCCAGAGGACCCCGAGGCCGCCGGUGGAGAACGUCCACCACAACCCUCCCACCAUUGAACUGUUGCACCGUUCCAGGUCACCCAUCACGACCAACCACCGGCCUUCCCCCGACCCCGAGCAGCGGCCCCUCCGCUCCCCCCUGGACAACAUGAUCCGCCGCCUCUCCCCGGCCGAGAGGGCCCAGGGACCGAGGCUCCACCAGGAGAACAACCACCAGGAGUCCUACCCCCUGUCAGUGUCUCCCAUGGAGAAUAACCACUGCCCGCCACCCUCUGAGCCCCACCAGAAGCCCUCCAGCCCCCGGCAGGAGAGCACGCGGGUGAUCCAGCUGAUGCCCAGCCCCAUCAUGCACCCUCUGAUCCUGAACCCCCGGCACUCCGUGGAUUUCAAGCAGUCCCGGCUCUCCGAGGACGGGCUGCACCGGGAAGGGAAGCCCAUCAACCUCUCCCAUCGGGAGGACCUGGCGUACAUGAACCACCUCAUGGUCUCCGUCUCGCCGCCCGAGGAGCACGCCAUGCCCAUCGGGAGGAUAGCAGACUGUAGACUGCUUUGGGAUUACGUCUAUCAGUUGCUUUCUGACAGCCGGUACGAAAACUUCAUCCGAUGGGAGGACAAAGAAUCCAAAAUAUUCCGGAUAGUGGAUCCCAAUGGACUGGCUCGACUGUGGGGAAACCAUAAGAACAGAACAAACAUGACCUAUGAGAAAAUGUCCAGAGCCCUGCGCCACUACUACAAACUAAACAUUAUCAGGAAGGAGCCAGGACAAAGGCUUUUGUUCAGGUUUAUGAAAACCCCGGAUGAAAUCAUGAGUGGCCGAACAGAUCGUCUGGAGCAUCUUGAGUCCCAGGAGCUGGAUGAGCAGAUAUACCAAGAAGACGAGUGUUGAAGGAACCAGCCCCCGGCUCAGCGGGCCGGUAGCCAAGGGCGCCCUGCCCGCCAGGAUGGCUGGGGCGUGAUGGAGAGGAAGGGAAGAGACCCGGACGUGGCAGUGACACUUCUCUCGCCCAGCGUGAGGGACCCCGGAGCACCUUAGACAAACCACUCAGCAAAGGCGGCGCUGGAAUUCUGGCCAAGGGCACCAGCCUGGGACUCGUGUUCAUGGUUCCUUCUCGUUUGGAAUCUCUGUCUGUAAUUCCUCCCCCACCCCGUUCCACCUAUUGUUAAGUUUCACGGUGUUCUUGUUUUUGUUCUUUUUUAAGACCAUGCAGUUUGACUUUUCAUCAUUCAUACAGGGGAAGACAUCGAGGUUGUUUUCCUAUGGAAAUAUAUAUCUAUUACAUAUAUAUAUUUUUUGCAAAUCUCACAAAGCGUAGAAGCCCAAUUGGUCAGGAGAGAGAACACUUGCAAAAGGGUUCAGGUUCCUCUGGAUCCUGCCACGUGGAUCACGCUCGAAUCCAAUAAUAGGAGUAGAGUCUUCUUUUACUCACGCAGAUGAGACCUCCCUUACAAAGCACCCCGUCCUGUUUCUCUCCGCUUCCUCCAGUCAGUCGGGUGAGCAUCUCGU